UGCCCACCUGUGUCCCUCCUGCCCUUAGCCAUGCCCCAUGCCCCCAGCUGAACUUAGUGAUGCCUUCACAGACUUCUUGCACUCACUUUGCCCACUUAAGUACACCUGAGCUCAUCCCUGUCACCUGCAGUCCUUGGCCCACGUGCUGGAGGUGCGGCGGACGCUGACGGAGCCUGAGGUACGCUACUACCUGCGGGGCCUGGUGAGCGGCCUCCGCUACCUGCACCAGCAACAUAUUGUGCACCGAGACCUAAAGCUCAGUAACUUUUUUUUGAACAAGAAUAUGGAGGUGAAAAUCGGGGACCUGGGGCUGGCUGCCAGGGUGGGGCCAGGGGGCCGAUGCCACAGAGUGCUCUGUGGGACCCCAAACUUCCUGGCCCCAGAGGUUGUCUCCAGGAAUGGGCAUUCCUGCCAGUCAGACAUCUGGGCUUUGGGCUGCAUCAUGUAAGUGGGGUC